rnacentral:rRNA from 2 species
UAGGGAAUCUUCGGCAAUGGACGAAAGUCUGACCGAGCAACGCCGCGUGAGUGAAGAAGGUUUUCGGAUCGUAAAACUCUGUUGUUAGAGAAGAACAAGGACGUUAGUAACUGAACGUCCCCUGACGGUAUCUAACCAGAAAGCCACGGCUAACUACGUGCCAGCAGCCGCGGUAAUACGUAGGUGGCAAGCGUUGUCCGGAUUUAUUGGGCGUAAAGCGAGCGCAGGCGGUUUCUUAAGUCUGAUGUGAAAGCCCCCGGCUCAACCGGGGAGGGUCAUUGGAAACUGGGAGACUUGAGUGCAGAAGAGGAGAGUGGAAUUCCAUGUGUAGCGGUGAAAUGCGUAGAUAUAUGGAUGAACACCAGUGGCGAAGGCGGCUCUCUGGUCUGUAACUGACGCUGAGGCUCGAAAGCGUGGGGAGCAAACAGG